ensembl:lncRNA
AUUUUAUCAAUCCAAAACCCCAAGUAUUCAACUUCACUACAUAACUCUACAUGACACACUGUUUUUGUUGUUUUUGUGUGAAUGACACUUAAAAACCUCAUGCUUUUUUGAGGAUUGAUGUGCUAUUAUUUCUGAUCAGUGAUCAGACUUUUUCUUUUUUCGUUUUCGCCUGAUGUACAAUGAUUUAUAUAUUUAAUUAUUUAAUUUUUAAACAUUACAUUUGAGUGUAGGGAUGCAAGUCAUAUCUAGAGAUCUGAAUAUCUCAGACACUUGGGCCAGGACUCUUGGGCCAGUAAACAACCACCGGGAACACCCUAGCAACCACAUAGCAACACCCUAACUACCACUCACAACACCCAUGCAUUUUGCCUGCAAGUCAUGCGCAUCCAAAUACCACCCACGAUUUCUUCAGAAAAUGUAAAAACCUUGCUGUUUCAUGUAGUAGUCACUAAUCUAUUUCUCAGACAGAAACCAAAUAGUUUAAAGUGCAGUUUGAAACUGUUUGUAGAAUGUGACUCAUCUGAAGGCCAGAAUCACAGCUUCAUUUUUUCACAGUCACAUGAUCUUAUAAAAACCAUGAUUGCAUUUUUUUGAAAAAUCAGAUUGCGUCAUGUAUGAAGAGUUUGUCUGAAUUGUGUUUACACCCCAAAAAAGAUUUAUAUAUAGGCCUUUAUAUUUUUUGCAUUUUAUUACAAGUAUCUUAAUAUUCUGAUUCAACACAAAAUAUAUUUCUUUAUGUACGUAAUUAUGCAGGAAAUAUUAAACAUGAAUCUGGUAUUAGUAUCAGAAAUUGGUUCGAAUAUACAAUAAAUAUUACAAUACAAGCCUCUGUUACUAUAUCGCUCUGUACUGUUUUGACAUUCAAAGAUUACCAUGCAUCGUCUCGGAAAUAAAGCAUCACGUACCGUACGUGGUCAGCAUUAUUUCUCAGAAUUAUUUUUUCUGUCCUGAUUGAGCAACAUCUAUUUCAAACUCUUCAAGACCGUGUGAACUCAAUGGCGUUUUACAGUCGUUACAGUUUCCAUGGGAGUAAAUUGUUAUGCAUUUAUAUUUAAUUAAUUAUUAAUUUGACCAAUGUUUAAAUCAUGAACUGCUUCAAACUACAUGCUGUUUAUGAAAUCAUUAAUGAAACAUUUGCAGUUAGUCUACUGUACAAAUUAAAACAAUAAAACAACAUAAUUACAAACGGUGAAUACAGGGCGAAUUAAGGUACACAAAGCAUAAAUCUUCAUUCAGAUUUGCAAAUGAGCAGCUUGUCAUUUAUAAGAUAUAUGCUGAGGAUCUCGUUCGUCUGAUGUUCAUCAUGUUUAUCUGAUGUUCACUACUGUAAUGAAUAUGAUACUUACCUUUUUAAUACGCAGGGGAAAUUCCUGACAUUAAACAAAUAACCAAAUUUACAUGCAUAUGACGUUUGCGUUGUAAGAAUGUACAGAGAUACUUCAGAUAAAAAAAACGCUGACUCGUUAGGUUCUGUUUUCUCAUUAAAAUCAUACAAUUUCCUAUGAAUUCAGUAUAAUGUAUAGGAAUACUAGGGAAUACCAAUAUGGUGCCGGGGUGGCUUAUAACUUUUAUGACAUCAUGAGAAAUCCAGUUCUCUAUUAUAGAUCAGUCAUUGUUCCCCUUCAUUUUUAAACAUUUAAAAAAAUGGAUAUUUUGAACGUUCCAAGAACAUUCAGAAAUAACGUUUUCAGAACGUUAGCAAAAUUUAAUUAGAACAUAUUUUUUAUCAUCUAGGAUUUUCCUUCCCAAGUUAAUGUAUCUUGAUGUAAGAGUGUUUGUAAAGGAAAACAAAUCAAAAAUACUGCUUGAUAACAAAUUAAACCGAGGAUCUGCUCAAGUUGGAGAUCACUUAACAGAUGUUGCAGUCUUGUCAUGGGCUGGUUUCUGUCGGUUUACUUUAAUGCAAUUUCUCUCUCCCACACACACUCUCUGAUGUCUGUCAGGGGUCAGUAUGUGUCUCCUCGGAGCUCUGGCCCCUCACUGCCCUCCCAUGCAUGCAUUGACCAGUCAUCUGUGCAGUUAUGAGAGGCAUGUGGUGGAGAGGAAGCAGUGGUUUGUGAGUCAGCGCCUCAUGAAUCGUUCCGUUCCGUUGGCCUUUGGCUCUCUUUAGCUCUUUGAGUCAUCUAGAUCCCUGUGGUCCUUUGAGAUGGGUGUGUGUAUGAGGGGGAGGAAAGCUUGCGUUCCUCUGUUUCUGGUCCAUUUGUUCUUCCGUUGUAUUGUUCAGUGUCUUUAGUGCGACUGUCAAGAGAAGCAGUGAAUGGUCACUGCGAGGAGAGACUGUCGUCCAGCAGAAUGGCGUCAGACGUGGGCCGUAGCACUUGAGGUCAGCCACUCACUCAGCGCACAGUGUUUAUUCUGUCUUCAGGUCCUCCUGGGAAGUUCCUACUUAAGAGUUCGGAAGUCAUAAUUAUGAUGUGAAGUGAUUUGGCUUGAAAUAAUACGGAUGAGUUGAGCAUAUUUAUGUGUCUUUAACCCAGCUAACAGGGAAUGUUCACAGAACUUGGUUAGAAUGUUAAUACAGUGUUCAUUCAAAGUUCGUGAGAUACACACUUAUCUAAUGUGUGUCAUUAUUUUGGAAUGUUCAGAGAACAUUCGAAAGUAACGUUCCCAUAAUGUUUGCAAAAUUAUUAAAUUAAAUGUUUGCAUAACCAAAAAAAAGAAGGAAAAAAAAAACGUUUUUGAAACAUUUAGAUAUUUAGAAUGUUCACACUUUUGUCAGAAGUAAUAUUUUCAUAACUUAAUGCAUAGUAACGUUAAACAUUCUUAGAACAUUUUUGUUAGCUGGGAACCUUACAAUGCAUUUUUAGUCUAAAUGAAGAAGAAAUGAUGCACAUUAGGUGCAAUUUAAGAUGAAUUGUAAAAAAUAUAUAUUUUAUCAUUCUUGUGAAACCGCAUAUAAUGACUGAAAAUGUAUUUCACAAAAUGUUUACAAAUUAGUUUUACAUUAUAUCAACAUUCACACCCUUGGUUCCACAAGUAUUUUUCUCAUUCAUUAUCUGUUUAUAAUUCUAUUAUCCAUUAUCUAUUCUAAUCUUGAAAACAUUUGAGUUUUAAACUAUGAAGACCAACCAGCUGGAAGAUGAAUCACAAACUUUACAUCUUGCUCCUAAAAUGUAUGGAAAUCUGAGAAAAAGGCAAAAGUACAAGACGGUGUAGUUUAAUUUUUUUUGGAAAUAAUACUCUAUAAAAUAUUAUGUAGAACUCUUGAUGUGCAGUCAUUCCUUGUUUAUUAGAUAUUGUUUGUAUUAAAUAUAAUACAAAUAUCUUUGAAUAGUUAAUUUGAAUUUAUUUAAUUUUAAUUAGAUUUUUUUUUUUAUUAUUAUUAAUUGAAUUUGUUAUUUUAGAUUAAUUUACAUUUGUUUUGAUGGCAUCAGUCUCUUUCCUUAUCUCUUUUUGUAAAUUUGCUUUGAGAAAGUGGACUCUCAUUCCAUGAAAUCUGCCUUGAAAUCAUUAACUUACACAGAAGAACGUCUCAUGUAGAUGAUUAUAUGUUAUACGGAGCUCAUGUGGAUCUGUCUUGAAAGGUUUAUACAAUAAUGCUAUAACUCUAUUGAGAAGAUGAAUGGGAUUGUACUUCUGGAACCCAACUGUUGUGCUCUAUAGCCAUUAGCUUCUAAUGUGAUUUUAUCAUCGACACGAACCCUACACAAAAAGUCUCUUUAAUAAUUAACCAUCAUGGUGUAUAUGACUCUGACAUGACUUGAAGGCAGCAUGCUUUAUUUAUUUUCAAGCUAAGCUACUGUGGACUUGUAAAGACAAACAACUGAGCAGCACUGCCAAACUAGCUGAAGGAUUGUUAAAGAGCCGAUGCACAGCCAUGUAACAUGAACACUUAUCACUCACAAUAAAUGUUUCCCUGAAAAACACGAUCAGUUUGACAUUUGUCUUUUUCUGUGGUCAGACUUGUGACUGUUUAUUUUAACGGUGUGUUUGUGUUGAGCUGUCCUCCUACGAUCUGUCUGCCAGUCGCGAACAGAGUGGUUGAGUUGUGGUUUACAUGCAUUCCCAGAGUCUGUGUGUGAGGACACGUGUAACACGCUAAAAUGUCACUUACAUAUUAGAUACAAGCUUCAUGUUGUUGACAUAAAGACAACAUUUUGUGCCAUUGCAUUUCUGCUUGCGUUGAUUUUUGAAGGAUGCAUUUCCUGAGUGUGACUAAUAAUAGAUUUGUUUUUGUUUUUGUUAUUCGACUAGCAUGUUACCAGGAAGAAUAUGUUGUAUUAACCAGUAAAUCAUGGUGCAAUUAAUUCUAUCUAACUGUGCAGUGGCAUUUUUAGAUGUACAAAAAAAAAAAAAAAGGAAAAAAGGAAAAACAAAGUUUUGAUUUUUACAUAGAUCUUGAUUUAAGAUUGCAAUUUUUCAUAUCUGCAAAUUUCAUUUUGCAGAUGUGUUUGUGCAUGCAUUUUGCACAAUUUGGAUUAUGCAGAUGUCAAAUUUAGUCCACUCCCACUAUUAACACUAAUGGGUGUCGGUUAAAUCAAGCGGUUGAAUCAUGAGUUUGUCAUAAAUGCUAUAAGUCAGAUACAGGCUUAUGGGUUAAGGUCACCAAAAUAUUUGUGACUUUAGAGUGAGUCAUUGUUUGUUAAAAUAAGAACAGUCAUUGGUUCUUAAUCGGUGGUUAGUAAGGUGAUUAAAAAUAUUAUAUGUGUAGGUGAAGACACAAGUGUUUUACAGAAAGUGGGUUGAGGUUCAGAAUAAUAUUUGAAAAGUGGAUUUUUCAAAGAAUGUUUUCAAAACAAAAAACUUAUUUCUUUCCUUUGAAGGUUUUAGAUACUGUCUACUCAUUUAUAAGUUUUUUUUUUUUUUUGGAUUUUCAUUAAUUUUCUCUGCUUUGUGUUUCAGGCUUAAAUUA